CGCCGCCUUUGAAAGGGUAAAGAUAUUGAUUGAAUAUAUUACAAACCCACGAAAAAAUCUGAUCCCCUAUCAACCCUAGUGUCACUAACAUGAAAAAACUGAAGAAAACCAUAUAAAUAGCGCAACUCUUAAGGUGCAGUGGCUUCAAUUGAUAAACACACCGAUAUACGGUGUACCCUGAUGCAAAAUUUAGGGUAAAGAUGUAUAUUUCUUUUAAGUGUACAUAGGAUGCUGCAUGAAUGUUGAGUCAGAAAUGGAAUUCGCUUGGCACCUCAUGCAGAAGAA
rnacentral:misc_RNA from 1 species